AUUGAACGCUGGCGGCAGGCCUAACACAUGCAAGUCGAACGAGUGGCGGACGGGUGAGUAAUGUCUGGGAAACUGCCUGAUGGAGGGGGAUAACUACUGGAAACGGUAGCUAAUACCGCAUACCAUCGGAUGUGCCCAGAUGGGAUUAGCUUGUAGGUGGGGUAAAGGCUCACCUAGGCGACGAUCACUAGCUGGUCUGAGAGGAUGACGAGCGACCCUGGAGCUGCGACACGGUCCAGACUCCCAGGGGAGGCAGCAGUGGGGAAGAUUGCACAAUGGGCGCAAGCCUGAUGCAGCCAUGCCGCGUGUAGGAAGAAGGCCUUCGGGGUGUAAAGUACUUUCAGCGGUGAGGCGUUACCCGCAGAAGAAGCCCCGGCUAACUCCGUGCCAGCCGCCGCGGUAAUAC
rnacentral:rRNA from 1 species